ACGUGACUGGCUCAGUUGGUAGAGCAUGUGACUCUUGAUCUCAGGGCUGUGAGUUGAAGCCCCAUGUCGGGUG
rnacentral:tRNA from 1 species